rnacentral:rRNA from 1 species
GACGAACGCUGGCGGCGUGCUUAACACAUGCAAGUCGAACGGAAAGGCCCUGCUUUUGUGGGGUGCUCGAGUGGCGAACGGGUGAGUAACACGUGAGUAACCUGCCCUUGACUUUGGGAUAACUUCAGGAAACUGGGGCUAAUACCGGAUCGGAGCUCCCGCUGCAUUGUGGGGGUUGGAAAGUUUCGGCUGUUGGGGAUGGACUCGCGGGUUAUCAGCUUGUUGGUUGGGUAGUGGCUUACCAAGGCUUUGGAGGGUAGCCGGCCUGAGAGGGGGACCGGCGACCUUGGGACUGAGGGACGGCCCAGAGGGGUACGGGGGGCAGCAGUGGGGAGUAUUGCACAAUGGGCGGGAGUCUGAGGCAGCGACGCCGCGUGCGGGAUGACGGCCUUCGGGUUGUAAACCGCUUUCGCCUGUGACGAAGCGUGAGUGACGGUAAUGGGUAAAGAAGCACCGGCUAACUACGUG